CAAUAGUUCUCCCUACAACUAUGUGUGUCAGCUGGCCUCAGGGGUUGCAGGAGUUGAGAGUUGCUUCAAUGGAAUACACAGUUUCUCUCUCUUCACUCUAGCAGGAUACAACAUGAGAUCUAUGUAGAAAGAGCCUGGAUAGAAGCAAUGGACCAUGUGUUGGGUGUAUAUGAGAAGUGAUCAUCGGCUGGAAGCCCACUAGACAAUUUCCUGAUGUGGAAGGAGCUCAGAGAUUGCUCCAGUACUUCAAGAAAGAAAAAUGAGUUCCCAUCACAAGUGUCUAGCAACAUGCUCCUUCAAAGCAUCCACCCCAGUCCUGAGAAUUACGGCCUCUGCAAGAACCAGCAAGACGAGGACUCGUAUCAGUCCAUGAACAGAAGCAGCAGUUCCGAGGUCCUGAGAGUAAUGCUCUGGAAAGCAUCCUGGUACCAGGGAUGGAACUCAAGACCUUGCACUUGUGAGCCAGGCACGGCACCACUGAGCUAAAUUCCCAGCCCUAGAAGAAUUUCAGCCUCUGAGGAAUCUUUGCAAGAGGAAAAGAAAAAUGAGCACAUUUGAUGGACAGAUGAGGGAAGAGCCAGAAAACCCCUGUAGCGUAAUAUCUGAAAAAGAACUAUGGAAAUCAAUUUCAGUCUUACAAGAAUGUGAGCUGCUUCAUACAGAUUCCUCCUCCUUGUCCCCUACAAUACGACAAAUGAAGUAUUUCUCACUGAUAUUUUAGUAUGAG
ensembl:lncRNA